GACGAACGCUGGCGGCGUGCUUAACACAUGCAAGUCGAACGGAAAGGCUCCUUCGGGGGUACUCGAGUGGCGAACGGGUGAGUAACACGUGGGUGAUCUGCCCCUGACUUUGGGAUAAGCCUGGGAAACUGGGUCUAAUACCGGAUAUGACCUGCCCUUGCAUGGGGGUUGUGGAAAGCUUUUGCGGUCAGGGAUGGGCCCGCGGCCUAUCAGCUUGUUGGUGGGGUAAUGGCCUACCAAGGCGACGACGGGUAGCCGACCUGAGAGGGUGAUCGGCCACACUGGGACUGAGACACGGCCCAGACUCCUACGGGAGGCAGCAGUGGGGAAUAUUGCACAAUGGGCGAAAGCCUGACCCAGCGACGCCGCGUGGAGGAAGAAGUCCUUCGGGGCGUAAACUCCUGGACUGGGGGACGAGGAAGGACGGUACCCCGAGUACGAAAGGGACGGCUAACUACGUG
rnacentral:rRNA from 1 species